CCUUGAAUCACUUUGUAGCCCAGGCAGGCCUUGAACUCACAGAGAUCCUCCUGCCCCGGCCUCCAGAGUGCUGGGA
rnacentral:miRNA from 1 species